GGGUAUGUGGCGGAAUUGGCAUACGCGUACGCUUCAGGAGCGUAUGAACGCAAGUUCGUGAGAGUUCGAGUCUCUCCAUGCCCA
rnacentral:tRNA from 1 species